AUAAAUACUCGUUUUUAAUCAAAUCUUUAUUAACCCCUGCUUCUACUAGACCUUUUGUAAACAGGUCGAGCCCUCGUGGUUCAGGAAUGUGAGAGUUGUAUGGUAAAAGUGCGUAUUGUAAAAAGUUCUCGAUGUUAGUACCAGGAAUGUCUCUUCCAUGAUAAACAAUCUCACCCUGAGGAUUCCAAGUUAAAAUAUCGCUUGAUAUAAGAAUAGAAUGUAGCAUUUUUUCUGCUGUAGUUUUUUUGACAUUAUUGUUCAGAUACAAAAGUAUAUCUUCAAUGCGCCAAUGUCGCGGAGAUGUUUUACUCUCGAUGUUCAUUGUUGAAAUGAUGUAUAAAUUGUAAUCACAGGGCUUUUAUACAAGUUCAGCUAGGCUUUCCAAAAUAGGACUUAGUAAUAGUCCAAGGAAACCUUCACCACGUUGAACGAGUAUCCGUUUUUUCUUCUUCCACAUUUUCCUCUAUCUGCUAACCUAAGCAUUUCAUUUUUGUAAGGUCGGAGUUUCUUCAUCACAUGCUUCGGCAUUAAAUAUUUUCUUUUCAUAACGUUUUCUACACAGAGACACAGGCAGUGUACUUGUUCGGCGCUUGCUGUUUCCAGGAGUGCUUGUUGUUGAUCAGGCUCGGACGUGCCCAACAAUUCAAGAUAUGGCUUGUGCCUUAGAAGAUUGAUCAUUUCUGUUCGACGGUUUGGAAGCAAAUGAGUAAAACACAACAAUAAGGAAGCUUAUAUCGGAAGAUAUAAGCUUCCUUAUUGGCUCCGAGUUAUCGAGAGUUCGAUUCUGAGCUUAUCGAACUUGGCUCCUUGUGCAUGUCAGAUAAGGAAGAUAAGAGGAUAAAUAUAAGGAAGAUAAGGAUAAAGAUAAGAGGAUAAAUAUAAGGAAGAUAAGGAUAAGGAAGAUAAGAAGAUAAAGAUAAGAAGAUAAAGAUAAGGAUAAAGAUAAAGAAGAUAAAGAUAAGGAUAAAGACGAUAAAGAUAAGGAUAAAGAUAAGAAGAUAAAGAUAAGGAUAAAGAUAAGAAGAUAAAGAUAAGGAUAAAGAUAAAGAUAAGGAUAAGGAACAUAAAGAUUGAGAUAAGGAUAAAGAUAAGGAAGAUAAGGAUAAAGAUAAGGAAGAUAAGGAUAAAGAUAAGGAUAAGGAUAAAGAUAAGAGGAUAAAGAUAAAGAUAAGGAAGAUAAAGAUAAGGAACAUAAAGAUAAGGAACAUAAAGAUUAAGAUAAGGAUAAAGAUAAGGAAGAUAAAGAUAAGGAUAAAGAUAAGGAUAAGGAUAAAGAUAAGAGGAUAAAGAUAAAGAUAAGGAAGAUAAGGAUAAGGAACAUAAAGAUUAAGAUAAAGAUAAAGAUAAGGAAGAUAAAGAUAAGGAUAAAGAUAAGGAAGAUUAAGAUAAGGAUAAAGAUAAGGAAGAUAAAGAUAAGGCUGAUAAAGAUAAGGAUAAAGAUAAGAUAAGAUAAGAAGAUAAAGAUAAAGAUGAGGAAGAUAAAGAUAAGGAUAAAGAUAAGGAUAAGGAUAAAGAUACGGAAGAUAAAGAUAAGGAUAAAGAUUAAGAUAAAGAUUAAGAUAAAGAUAAGGAAGAUAAAGAUAAGGAUAAAGAUAAGGAUAAGGAUAAAGAUAAAGAAGACAAAGAUAAGGAUGAUAAAGAUAAGGAUAAAGAUAAGAUAAGAAGAUAAAGAUAAAGAUGAGGAAGAUAAAGAUAAGGAUAAAGAUAAGGAUAAGGAUAAAGAUUAAGAUAAAGAUAAGGAAGAUAAAGAUAAGAGGAUAAAGAUAAGGAUAAGGAAGAUAAUGAUAAGAAUAAAGAUAAAGAAGAUAAAGAUAAGGAAGAUAAAGAUAAGGAUAAAGAGGAUAAAGAUGAUAAAGAUGAUAAAGAUAAGGAGAUAAAGAUAAGGAUAAAGAUAAGGAAGAUAAAGAUAAGGAUAAAGAAUAAAGAUAAAGAAGACAAAGAUAAGGAUAAAGAAGAUAAAGAUAAGGAAGAUAAAGAUAAGGAUAAAGAUAAGGAAGAUAAAGAUAAAGAAUAUAAAGAUAAAGAUAAGGAUAAAGAUAAGGAAGAUAAAGAUACAGAAUAAUACUGGAUAGAUGCAUUAAUGAAUAUAUAGAACGAAUACGCCAACUUAUUAUCACUUCCAGCUAGACGUUCGUGGUGUGAACAUGUCCUUUCCGUGCAAUAUAUGUGCCAAAGUAUUUUCAACACGCGGCAACCUCAAGCGUCAUACUUUGAAUACCCAUGGAGAUGUUCAAAGCAAACCAGUUGAAAUCUCAGCAGGAUCUACAGUUUUGCAGCAUCCUUUCACAUGUAUCGUAGCUGGGUGUACCCAAAGCGGCAAGACUGUGUGGGUAAAAUCUCUCUUGGAGAAUGCACAGAAAACUAUAAGUCCUGCUCCUCAACGUAUCAUUUGGUGUUAUGGUCAAUGGCAACCCUCCUAUUUUGAUAUGAUGAGAACGAUGCCUGGAAUCGAGUUUAAUCAAGGCAUCCCCGAAGACAUCGACAACGCAGAUUACUUGGACGUAUCGCAACGGAAUUUGAUCGUAUUGGACGACCUUAUGGCUCUAUCUGGCAAAGAUAAACGUAUUUCUGAUCUUUUUACGAAAGGAAGUCAUCAUCGGAAUUUAUCUAUCAUCUAUAUUGUUCAAAAUAUAUUUCAUCAAGGCAAAUAAAUGAGAAAUAUCAGCCUAAACGCCCAUUAUAUCGUGUUGUUCAAGUCACCAAGAGAUAAACAACAAAUUUCUAUGCUUGCAAGGCAAAUAAAUCCUGGAAAAGUACAAGAAUUUAUGAAAAGUUAUGAAGAUGCUACGAACCGACCUCACGGGUAUUUGGUGUUGGAUUUAAAGCCAACAACAGAUGAUCAGAAACGACUCAAGACCAACAUACUUCCCGGCGAGAUUGAAAAGUUUAUACAAAAACAGUCGUAUCGACAACCACCACUUGUAAAUGCCAUGUAUGAUGCCGAGCAGCGAAUGAAAGAAAUCAUGGAUGCACCCCAGCUUAGCGCAGUGGAAAAAAGCAAAUUAUACUCUGAUCAACUAAAUCGGUUUCUCACAUUCAAAAAUAAGAUGGAUGUCCCAGCUCAAGCUCCUGUUCAGACAACUCCACUAGUGCCUGCAGAAAUACCACAACCCAAUGAAUUUGCCGGGAUGGUACCACCAGUGCCUGCUACGCCUAAACCUAAUUUCCUUACACCACCACCAACAGGAGAGGAACGGCCAAAACUCAAGCGCAAUUUUUUUCACAAUUGGGUCGACCCAGCAGAUUGGACCGAACGUGACCUAGCGCGAAUGACUCCGGAAGCAAGAGAGGCUUAUGAACGUUUCAUAUUGAGCGAUAGACCGAAAUAUAUUCCAAUGAAGCCGAAAAACUUGCAAAGUUAUCCCCAGAAGAUAGACAAGAAUAUGAGAACUCUUUAAAAAUAACAAAAACACCUAGACGUUAC